rnacentral:rRNA from 1 species
UUGAACGCUGGCGGCAGGCCUAACCCAUGCAAGUCGAACGGUAACAGGAAGCAGCUUGCUGCUUUGCUGACGAGUGGCGGACGGGUGAGUAAUGUCUGGGAAACUGCCCGAUGGAGGGGGAUAACUACUGGAAACGGUAGCUAAUACCGCAUAACGUCGCAAGACCAAAGAGGGGGACCUUAGGGCCUCUUGCCAUCGGAUGUGCCCAGAUGGGAUUAGCUAGUAGGUGGGGUAACGGCUCACCUAGGCGACGAUCCCUAGCUGGUCUGAGAGGAUAACCAGCCACACUGGAACUGAGACACGGUCCAGACUCCUACGGGAGGCAGCAGUGGGGAAUAUUGCACAAUGGGCGCAAGCCUGAUGCAGCCAUGCCGCGUGUAUGAAGAAGGCCUUCGGGUUGUAAAGUACUUUCAGCGGGGAGGAAGGGAGUAAAGUUAAUACCUUUGCUCAUUGACGUUACCCGCAGAAGAAGCACCGGCUAACUCCGUG